AGUGAACGCUGGCGGUAGGCCUAACACAUGCAAGUCGAACGACAGCACAGGAAGAUUUCGCUCCUACGGGUGGCGAGUGGCGGACGGGUGAGGAAUACAUCGCCAUCCACUUUUUCUUGGGGGAUAACGUGGGGAAACUUACGCUAAUACCGCAUAUGACGUACGGCUUAAAUCAGUAGAUCUUCGGACCUUGCCUGUUUGAAUUAGCCGAUGCCGGAUUAGCUAGUUGACGGGGUAAAGGCCCACCAAGGCAACGAUGCGUAGCUGGUCUGAGAGGAUGAUCAGCCACACUGGAACUGAGACACGGUCCAGACUCCUACGGGAGGCAGCAGUGGGGAAUCUUGCGCAAUGGGCGAAAGCCUGAUCCAGCCAUACCGCGUGGGUGAAGAAGGCCUUCGGGUUGUAAAACUCUUUUGUUGGGAAAGAAAAGCAGCAGAAGAAUCCCCGGCUGUUUUGACGGUACCCAAAGAAAAAGCCCCGGCUAACUUCGUG
rnacentral:rRNA from 1 species